CUUCUAUCUUUCUAAAACGCGUCUUUCUGUUUUCCUCUUCAGUUAUCAUCAACACCAGCAACGCAAUCCCCACUCCAUGAUUACCAUCAUCACCGGAAACUACCGUCAACACCAGCAACUACCACCGAUUUCGAUUUCAAAUCUCUAUUCGACCAGUUUCACUAUUUCAAUUUCUCUAAUUUUUUUAUUUAACAUCUAGUUCCAUCACCACCAGCGACACCAAUUUCAUACUCUAUGACCUACUUUCCAAUUUCGAAAUUAUUUUCUCUUCUCCACGAGAUCAGAGAAAGAGAGACGAACUGAAAAAUAGGGUUUGAUUCGAUUUAGGUUGGAGAUUUAACGAAGGCCAAUCUAAACCAGAAAAUUUAUUGUCUCUCCAUUUCUUCUUCGAAGCUUCUUCACUGCCUUUCUCUUUAAUCCCAGGAGGAAGAAAGCGGCGUUGCAACAUCUAUAAUGGAGUGAGUAUUAUCUAUUUUUGUUCUCACUUUAGGUUUGAUUCAGUUAGGCCUAAUAAACAGUCUUCGGAUUUAUGUUGUAUACAGUCAUUGUACUAAAUAUUCAUAAUUUUUUUUUGCUUUAUUCUGUCAUACUUCUAUCUAGUGUUUUUGUUUGCAAAGUUAGUUUCAUUUCCUUGAAAUGUUGCUCUAUUUUGUUGUACCUACAAUACUCAAUCAUCGACCUCUUUCAGGUCAUACAAUGGAAAAACUAUAGAACAUUUCUACUUACGGAAUCUGACGUUGAUUUCCAUCUAUCUCUUUCUUUAAGUGCGUAUUACUUAUAUGUUUCUCUGCUGUUUAUUAUGUAAUCUCAUUUUCAGUAUAUUUGCCUGAGUUUUUUGUAUGGAUUUAGAGGGUUGGAUCCAUGUUGCCGGCUAGAACUACUCUCUCACAGGUACGAUAGAUUGCAACUGAGGCUAACAUGAAAGCACAAGGAUGCAGAUAUGAUCUAUAACUCUUUGCGUGUUUGUUACUUGGGAAAUGCAGUUCCAACAUGUUUGUUGUGCUAGGGAAAGUGACUGUAUUUUAAAGUAGCAAGAAGAUGAAGUUGUUCUUCAUGGUUGGUGGUGAGUACUAAUAAGCCAAAGCGAACGAGUUAACGUUCGAUGUGCAACGCACGUGCACUCAACUUGUCCUCGUAACUGAGAUUAAUACUAGAGAACAUAGAAACACGAAUAUGAGAUUUUGAUAGGCCAUGUUUAGCCAAUGUUUGCUGCGUUAUUUUUGAAUUUUGCUUCUUGAGGUCAAUAAAAUUCUAAGAGCUGGAGAUCUCUUUGGUUUAUUU